rnacentral:tRNA from 1 species
AAAGGGAGACCUAAUUCAGGUAGGCGACGAAAAAAAAGUAGUCCCAACCAAGAAUCAAUCCCAAAAGGUCGGAGCGAGGCAAAAUUGGCUUUCAAACUAGGUUCUGGGUUCACACAAGACCUGAAUCAGGAACAAGGGCUAUUAGCUCAGGUGGUUAGAGCGCACCCCUGAUAAGGGUGAGGUCCCUGGUUCGAGUCCAGGAUGGCCCACCUGCACAGGUGGUAAAAACAAGAGAAGCGAGGAAUCAGCACCUUAUCUUACUUACAUAGUAAGAGAGAAUGCUGGCUCUGAGUAAAGAGUCCAGAGGAACCUUGAAAACUGCAUAGAGCUAGGUGAAAAAGCCAAAAAAGAAGACCGCAAG